rnacentral:rRNA from 1 species
AGUGAACGCUGGCGGUAGGCUUAACACAUGCAAGUCGAACGGCAGCACAGUAAGAGCUUGCUCUUACGGGUGGCGAGUGGCGGACGGGUGAGGAAUACAUCGGAAUCUACUUUUUCGUGGGGGAUAACGUAGGGAAACUUACGCUCAUACCGCAUACGAUCUACGGGUGAAAGCAGGGGAUCUUCGGACCUUGCGCGAUUGAAUGAGCCGAUGUCGGAUUAGCUAGUUGGCGGGGUAAAGGCCCACCAUGUCGACGAUCCGUAGCUGGUCUGAGAGGAUGGUCAGCCACACUGGAGCGGAGACACGGUCCAGGCUCCUGCGGGAGGCAGCAGUGGGGAAUAUUGGACAGUGGGCGCAAGCCUGAUCCAACCAUACCGCGUGGGUGAAGAAGGCCUUCGGGUUGUAAAGCCCUUUUGUUGGGAAAGAAAAGCAGCAGGUUAAUACCCCGCUGUUCUGACGGUACCCAAAGAAUAAGCACCGGCUAACUUCGUG